rnacentral:rRNA from 1 species
CUUUGCAAGAAUAAUAAUAACUUUUAACCCCGAAAAUAAAUGAGCUGGCAAUUAUUUGUUCAGAACCCAAUAUAUAAUGUAGCAAUAUUACUUUAUAAAAAUAACUGCCAGAGGCUACAUACCUACCGCAUUUUUAGAUAUCUGGUUUUUUGCUACUCCAGCCUAAGCUGACCAAGUUGAUUCCCUCAAUCUCCCCACUCCUAUCAACUGUGAAACUAAAUUAAGGAUAAGCUUAAUUUACCUCUUUAUUAUGAAGAAAUUUUACCACACCUGUAGGCCCAGAACCAGCCACCACUAUACUACGUUACAGUUUACCAAAAAUUACAAUCUCCUCCUUAAUAUUACACCCAAGCAAAAUAAUAAAUUUAACUCCAAAUUUAUCAGAUUAUGCAAAGAUCAGUAUUUUUUCCCUAUCCCAAUUACCACUCUCCCCAUAUGUGAAAAAGGAACUCGGCAAACCAAUAUUUCGACUGUUUACCAAAAACAUUGCCUAUAGAUCUCUCAUUAUAGGUACGCCCUGCCCAAUGAACCUUCAUUGUUUAAAUGGCCGCGGUAUUCUAACCGUGCAAAGGUAGCAUAAUAAUUUGCCUCUUAAUUGAAGGCUAGAAUGAAUGGGUAAACGAAAAUAUACCUGUCUCCUUCACAUCCCUAAAAAUUAUUCUUCAGGUGAAGAAACCUGAAUCUAUAUAAAAGACAAGAAGACCCUGACGAGCUUUAAUCCCUUAACUAGCCCUAACACCUAUCAAUACACCCCCCUUUUAAGGGAUAUUUAUUGGGGCGAUAAUGGAACACAUCUAACUUCCAUCACACCUCAGACACCACGUCCUUUCUUAGAUCCUCUAAUGAUAACAGGCAACAGCUACCGCAGGGAUAACAGGCUUAUUCUCCUUAAGAGCCCAAAUCUACAGGAGAGUUUGGCACCUCGAUGUUGGCUUAAAGAUCUCUUUUAGGCGCAGCAACCUAAAAAGUGGGUUUGUUCAACCCUUAAUACUUUACAUGAG